UUCUAAGAAGAAGAAGAAGAAGAAGAAACAAU
rnacentral:sRNA from 1 species